GCUCAAUAGGAUGGUUUGCAGCAAUGUGGAUCGUCGUUUCGACAAGCUAUUGAGCGGUGCAGCGUUACAAACCAUGAUGUUUAGUGACACAAUUGGUAGUUUGUAAGUUCGCUUACUUGCUACUCUUAGCCUAGCAUGCAAGUUCCAUUGACUUGGACUAAUUGCAAAUGACUACUGACUUGGGGCAACUUGAGUUGGUGGUUGAGCCAGAGUGGGUGAAAGCCCUAUACCGUGCAGGCAUUCGUGUAACGAAUCGUGGAGGGAGCUGUAACAGGUUUCCAAUUUGUUAGAGUCGAGUUGCUUGAGAGUGCAACUUAAAGUGCGAGGUAAACUACUCGUAAGGCUAUGUAAUACGGCUACGACACCGAUAGCAAACAAGUACCGUGAGGGAAAGUUGAAAUAGAACUUUGCAGAGAGAGUUAACAGGGCGUGAAACCGUUAAUUGGCAAACGAAUCGGAGCCACGAAGUCGUUUCGUUGAGUUGGGUUGGGUUCAGCUUAGGACGAAAGUCUUGGGUGUAUUCCUGGCUCGACCAUUGUAAGCGUACACUGCAACCAGUUAGACGAUUGGUGAUGGGCCCAGUUGAUUGUAGAUGCUUGCAUCCACUUUUAACGCAGGACUUGUUUAUCCAAGUUAGUAGUAGCGUUGUAUGCCCUCGGGUAUAUUUAUGUUGCUGGGCUUGUGAUAAGUGAACUAUCUACCAAAUACUGACUGGCAAAAUGAAAAUCGCCUUGUGCGUUAUAUAAAAUGCUGCAGCUAGUAUAAGUGUUCACAUGCUCAACCAUAGGGUUUUAAGCUCAGCAUUUUUGAAUUUAGACUUGCAUUCUACCAGUGGGGCAACUCCUGGUGUUUGUACAGCUUCUAUCUAAUCGGGUGUUGACUUGAUUUUAUGUUGUUUGUGUAUGCUACGAUAGAGCGCAUAUACAAAGUUGUAAGCAAUUG
rnacentral:rRNA from 1 species